AUUGAACGCUGGCGGCAGGCCUAACACAUGCAAGUCGAAAGAGUGGCGGACGGGUGAGUAAUGUCUGGGAAACGGACUGAUGGAGGGGGAUAACUACUGGAAACGGUAGCUAAUACCGCAUACCAUAAGAUAUGCACAGAUGGGAGUAGCUAGUUGGGGGGGUAACGGCGCACCAAGGCGACGAUCCAUAGCGGGUCUGAGAGGAUGAACAGCCACACUUGAACUGAGACACGGUCCAGAUUCCUACGGGAGGCAGCAGUGGGGAAUAUUGCACAAUGGGCGCAAGCCUGAUGCAGCCCUGCCGCGUGUAUGAAGAAGGCCUUCGGGUUGUACAGUACUUUCAGCGGGGAGGCGUUACCCGCAGAAGAAGCCCCGGCUAACUCCGUGCCAGCAGCCGCGGUAAUAC
rnacentral:rRNA from 1 species